GCUGGGGCUUCAGGGCCAGCUCGGACCUCUGACCUCCCUGACGGGUCCUGUACUGAGCUGCCCCGAGGCCCUCACUGUGC